UAUUAUCUUUUUGCGAAAUAAUGUAGUUCCCAACCUUAUCUUUUGAAGUUAAACCAUUUUUCAGGACAUCUUUCUAACCAUGCGCGAAUCAAAAUUUUAUCAAAAUAAUUUAAAAUUUUUUUAAGUGGACAUGUUUCCGUAAACUUUAAGUUGAGAAACACUGCUCCAAGAAUGUAAACAGUUAAGUUUAUAGUCAUAUGCUUUGAUUUAACAUAAAAAAAUAAGAAAAAAUCCAAACAAACAUCUUUUUACUGAACGAUACAUGUUAUGUAGAUGUAGAAUAUUAAAAAGUUAAUAAGGUUUAUUCAAAUAUGGCGAUAACUGCAUUGAAAUUUACGUGCAAAUUAGCUUCUCCUGGAAGUAUUAAUUAUAUUGUCAACGACUUAGAACAGUCAUGCUCCACUAAAUAGCAGUUAGAUGGAAGUUCUCGAAGAUCAUCGCGUUCAAAGGUAGAUUGACAGAGAAAGAAGAGAGAGAGGA
rnacentral:lncRNA from 1 species